rnacentral:antisense_RNA from 1 species
CUUGAUCGACCCGAGCCACAGCGGCCGGUCCCGGUCCCGCCCGUACGUGGUCAACAGCGCCUGGGCCUC